UAUUAAUAAAUUAAGAUUAAAUUUAUGCUUACAUGCAUGAGUACAGUAGGUGAGGCAAAAACACCGGCAGAAGGAAGAUUCCUUGUUUGCCAGUGUGACUUGUAAAAUCAGCUGUAAUUAACCUGUACUUAAGUAUCGCUGUAUUUAUUUACCCUCUUUGAAUGAGUAGUUUUCAUUUGAUCGCCAACUUUUUUCAUGCCAAUGUUAAAUUUAAUAUUAUACAAAAGUUUUCCUUAUAAAUUAACUUGAACUUAUCAUUUCUAUUUUACAGUGCCAAACUGAUCAAUUGCAUCCUAAUGGAACGUUCAAGAUGUGAUUCAGUAACUGAUACGGUAGUUGCAAUCAUUAUUUUUGACCAAGUAAGUGAACAAUUCACCAUGAAAUGAUUGAAUCCAAAAAUAAUUGAAGAAAUGGUUUCAGAUGAUUACGAAUAAGCGCAGCUAUAUCUGGAGAGGUAAUGCACCUACUGAUAUCCCGUGAUAAGAACUUGGGAGAGAUUUAGUGAAAACCUGGAGAACGGCCACUUAGCUCACAAAUCUGAGCUGUUCACAUCAAGCUGAUAUUUGUGACAGCCAUUAUAGCUUUAAUCAUUUUCUCGAUUGAUCAAAGCACAACAGGCUGCAUCGUUCGUCACCUCUGCCUUCAAGCGCGUUAUGACUUACUCCAAUAAGCCAACCAAAUAUCCUUAAUAAGCAAUAGAAGUUCUUAUCGACUGUGUAUGACUCAUUAAUAUCCAUGUUUUGUAUAAAUUUAUGUGAUAGACCUACUGAUAUUAAUGUUGAUGUACCGUAAUGUUUUUUGCUCAUGUAUAAUAUUGAUAAUAAUACAUUAAAAAUAAAUAAAAAGUUAAAUUAUUA